GAAGCCGGUGGCGUAACCCUUUUAGGGAGCGAGCCGUCUAAGGUGGGACAAAUGAUUAGGGUGAAGUCGUAACAAGGUAGCCGUAGGAGAACCUGCGGCUGGAUCACCUCCUUUCUAAGGAAACAGACUGAAAGUCUGACGGAAACCUGCACACACGAAACUUUGUUUAGUUUUGAGGGGAUCACCCUCACGCACCCUAACGGGUGCGACUUUGUUCUUUGAAAACUGGAUAUCAUUGUAUUAAUUGUUUUAAAUUGCCGAGAACACAGCGUAUUUGUAUGAGUUUCUGAAAAAGAAAUUCGCAUCGCAUAACCGCUGACGCAAGUCAGUACAGGUUAAGUUACAAAGGGCGCACGGUGGAUGCCUUGGCACUAGGAGCCGAUGAAGGACGGAACUAAUACCGAUAUGCUUCGGGGAGCUAUAAGUAAGCUUUGAUCCGGAGAUUUCCGAAUGGGGGAACCCAGUACACAUCAGUGUAUUGCUUGUCAGUGAAUACAUAGCUGGCCGGCGGCAGACGCGGGGAACUGAAACAUCUCAGUACCCGCAGGAAGAGAAAGAAAACUCGAUUCCCAUAGUAGCGGCGAGCGAAGUGGGAAGAGCCCAAACCGAGAAGCUUGCUUCUCGGGGUUGUAGGACUGGACAUUGGAGUUACCAAAGUCCGACGUAGUCGAAGUCAGCUGGAAAGCUGCGCCACAGAAGGUGAAAGCCCUGUAAGCGAAACGUCGAACCCUCCGUCCAGGAUCCUGAGUACGGCGGAACACGUGAGAUUCCGUCAGAAUCCGGGAGGACCAUCUCUCAGGGCUAAAUACUCUCUAGUGACCGAUAGUGAACCAGUACCGUGAGGAGAGGCGAAAAAAGG
rnacentral:misc_RNA from 1 species